UAUGCUUUCAUCCCGCCCAUGCUCUGGGCUACAUUGCACUUGCAGUUGGUAACGUACAGCAGGUGUGCUUGCGCUCCUGUUAGUUGCCAGCUGUUCAUACUUUGUGUUGAGUUCCUACAGUAUGAGUGUUGGUCUUAUGUUAUUUGCACAAGAGUUGGUUUUGAAAUCUCGUAACUCUGUUGAAAUUAUACCCUUUUGGUUAACACGCGUCGAGAAAGUCGCAUCAAUCAAAUGGUUCCUGCAAGAUGAUCCCUGACGUUAGUCAACGCUCCCCACUGGAGAAGCUGUGGCACGAAGCCGUAGUCCUGCCCUUGCGCCACCCAUGUGAAAAUAUCUUAAGACAGGAGCGGCGCUAGUUCGGAGGUGGCGGAACAGUUAACGUGGAAUAUAUAUGCUCGACUAGAGCUCCCGUGUCGACUUCUGCAGAGGAGGUCAGCAUCGACAUCGAGUAGCGUUCUGAACUUGGGUCGUUGCUGCUACAAUCUUGGAGGAUUUUGAUACGGGCCAUUGCAAUCUGCUGUCGACCUGAAAUAUUUAUGCUAUCCAAGCUUAUUUUGGGCGUCGACUUCAGCUUAAGCUCUGCGGGCGUGCCAGCUUUUGUUGGCAGUGGGUCGGAAGGCGGAGGAAAGGAUUGGACAGCGUCGCAACUUUGGCUGCAUGGAGUGAUGCCAGUCUAUGGUGGAGGUCGACGUCUCAAUGUCAACUUCUGUCGCCCAGGUUACCGUCUGGAGCUUCAACAAAGUUACGCAGAAUCAACACAAGUUGAUUGACUUGACGAUACUAAUGAUGAAGCACCAAGGAUGAACCAACUACAUGGAGCUUUGUGCUGCUGAUAAUCUGCUUGGGAACAACAGCUGCACAUCAUCGAUUUGUUGGUGGAAGAUGGACGUCAGAAUUGUCUGAGGAAAGCGUGGCAUGACCAUCCCGUCUCAUCCCUCUUCUCGUCCGUUGCCUCAUACCGUCUGCUGCCUCAUUCCGUCUGCUGCCUCAUCCCAUCCGUUGCCUCAUACCAUCCGCUGCCUCAUCCCGUCUGCUGCCUCACCGACGCAAUGCCAAGCAAUACAGCUGCUCCCUCAUAAAGAACUCCCAGAAUGUUUUCCGAGAAUCUGGCAUGAAGAUUGCUUCUGAGAAGUGGCCAGGUCUUCACAUACCUACUUUCAUUUCUCCUCUACUGGCCUUCACGAGAAUCUUACCAGUUUUCCUUGGUCACACCAAGUGGCAACGUUCAUCGAUGAACUGAACUUGCUGUCCUCUGCUGUGCUGUCUCCACUGCCAGAUUGUGCGCCGGGCGCGUCGCGUCAAUGCGACGUCAGAGCGUCGAAGUGUUGCAUCAUCUAAUGCUUUAGCAAAUGGCGAUCCUCGUGCGAGUGUCCGUUGUGUUGGCGCGUAGGCAGCAGACGUGCUGGCUCAACAUAUUCCUGCUGCGGCAACACAAGUGGACAAAAUUUCCUCUCCAAGGAUCAGCAAGCUAUGAAGUGCUGCAUGAACUUUGGCCGUUGCUGCUGCAGUCUUGGAGCCAUCUUCUUUUCAGGGCCAUCGCCAUCUUACGUCUACCUAAGAUUUUUAUAUGUGAUCCAAGCUCAUUUUGGGCCUCGACUUCAGCCCAAGCUCUUCGGGCGUGCCAGCUUUUGUUGGCAGUGGGUCGGAAGGCAGAGGGAAGGAUUGGACAGCGUCGCAACUUUGGCUGCAUGGAGUGAUGCCAGUCUAUGACGGAGACCGACGUCUGAAUGGCUACUGUGGUGGUCCUGAUAAGGUGGAGGGUACGACGAAGUUAUGUAACCAGCCAACGCUGCUUGAGGAUGCAAGAUGUUCAAGCAGCUACGAUGGACCAGCUACAAAUUGCUUAUUGCUGGUGGAAGGCGGCCGUCACAACGCCCUGCGGGAAGCUCUGCAUCGCAGUUGUGUACGCUGCCUCAUUCUCGCAGGUCCUCACAAUGACGCUCCUGAUCUCCCUUCGUAGAUGUGGCCUGGCUAGCAAUCCUGAAAAGUGGCCAGAUAUUCAGUUAUCAACUUGGAUUUGACUUACAAGAGAAGAGCCUCAGCGAAAUUUUCGCGCAACUUUUAUGCUCUUAUCAACUGUAAACGUUCAUUGAUGAACUGUAAGCUGGUCCUCUGUUGUGCGGCCUCCACUGCAAGUUCGGGGUUUCGGAUUCUUCUUUCCUUUCUGGUGCGUAGGGCGUAAGGAUCGAGAUUCGUUAAACAUCUAAUGACAAUUUUUCGAUGGAAAUGGUUAUUAACGCGUUGCUGUGUGCAGCGGUCGAGUCGUGUUACGUCAACAUGAGAUCAUCGGAGUAUUGCAUCAUCAAAGGUUUUGGUUUAUUUGCGUACAUUGGAAGGUCUGACGUUUUUUUUAUUUUUGCCAUUUCAUUUUCUGUGCCCUCGUGAAUUUCAAUUCCCUGCUGUUUUCUUGUUGAAGAAAAGUUUAAUGACAAUUAAAAAUGGUUGGCCCUGCCUGACGUACAUUCCUCAUUGUGUAAUUUUGUCUGCUUUUGCAGCGUUGAUUGUGUGUAGAGGUUAAGUUUGUGUUAUCUCUUAACAACUGCUCUUAAAAAUAUGACAGUUGGAACAGCCCACUGCCACGCAUUAAUCCCUGCUGUUCUUUCAACGUCCAUCUCGAUUUGCUCUUGAAAUAUGUAAUGAAACGAUCGUGAAUUUGUUGUAAAAUUUUGCCGAGUAAAAAUGUGUAAGGAAUGAACGCAGUUUCAAGCUAUGGAGUCAGGCAGCGAGCUCAGCUGCCAUGAAAACCUUCAAACUUCUUAGAGUUGUAUUACGUCUUCAAUGUAGGCUCAUAUUUUAGUAGGGUUCAAGUUUACCUUAUAGACAGGAUUUAAUUUCGUGCGAGACCUGUGAAGUUUUGAUUUCAGUAUUAUUGGUGUGAAAUUAUUGUGCGUCUUCGCAGAUAACCGUACUGCUAACUGGAACUCUUGAAAAUCGGAUGAAAUCUCGAAGGUAAGUUAAUUUCUCUGAAAAAAAUUUCUUUGUUAUAUUUUGUAUUAAUCACGUGCAAUGAAACGUUUAUUUAUCUUACAAACGAAUGUUAGUUACUAAUUUGCGUGUUAGCCUGUUUAGAUAUAUUUUAAAGCAUUAUGUAAAUUUGCAUUCUUUCGAUGUUAACUUUGCCUUACUGAAAUAAAAUGCACUCAACUCGA